GUUUCGUACGUAGCAGAGCAGCUCCCUCG
rnacentral:piRNA from 6 species